GUUCUUUUCUCGCCAGUCGACCGAACCGAGAAGGACAUAUCUCGCCCAAAACUUCAAAAUGCCGCCAACGAAAAAAAACAAGAAGAGUAUCGAGAACAUCAACUCUCGGCUGGCUCUUGUUAUGAAGAGUGGCAAAUAUGUCCUCGGCUACAAACAAACGCUGAAGACACUCCGACAGGGCAAGGCUAAGCUGGUCAUCAUCGCCAACAACACCCCACCCUUAAGGUAAGUUCAACCUUAAUAAACUUGCCAACAAUGAAAUGAUGAACAUCGACUGAAGGUAAAGUUUUGAAUAUUUUUCAAAUGAAGAG